UACGGGGGGAGCAAGCGUUGUUCGGAUUUACGUGGGCGUAAAGGGCGCGUAGGCGGCCACCGCAAGUCGACUGUGAAAUCUCCGGGCUUAACCCGGAAAGGUCAGCCGAUACUGCGGGGCUAGAGUGCAGAAGGGGCAACUGGAAUUCUCGGUGUAGCGGUGAAAUGCGCAGAUAUCAGGAGGAACACCGAUGGCGAAGGCAGGUCUCUGGGCAUUAACUGACGCUGAGGAGCGAAAGCAUGGGGAGCGAACAGG
rnacentral:rRNA from 1 species